rnacentral:rRNA from 1 species
GAUGAACGCUGGCGGCGUGCCUAAUACAUGCAAGUCGAGCGAACAGAUGAGGAGCUUGCUCCUCUGACGUUAGCGGCGGACGGGUGAGUAACACGUGGAUAACCUACCUAUAAGACUGGGAUAACUUCGGGAAACCGGAGCUAAUACCGGAUAAUAUAUUGAACCGCAUGGUUCAAUAGUGAAAGACGGUUUUGCUGUCACUUAUAGAUGGAUCCGCGCCGCAUUAGCUAGUUGGUAAGGUAACGGCUUACCAAGGCGACGAUGCGUAGCCGACCUGAGAGGGGGGACCGCCACACUGGGACUGGGGAACGGUCCAAGAUCCUACGGGAAGGAGGCGGAGGGAAAUCUCCCCAAUGGGGGGAAACCUUGCCGAACAAAGGCGCGGGGGGUGAUGAAGGCCUCGGGUUGGAAAACCUUUGUUAUUGGGAAAAAAAAAUUUUGUAAGAAACAAUGACGGUCUGACGGUACCGUAAUAAGAAGCCCCGGCUUACUACGUU